rnacentral:rRNA from 1 species
UACGAAGGGGGCUAGCGUUGCUCGGAUUGACUGGGCGUAAAGGGCGCGUAGGCGGUUCGUACAGUCAGACGUGAAAUUCCUGGGCUCAACCUGGGGGCUGCGUUUGAUACGUGCGGACUUGAGUGCGGAAGAGGGUCGUGGAAUUCCCAGUGUAGAGGUGAAAUUCGUAGAUAUUGGGAAGAACACCGGUGGCGAAGGCGGCGACCUGGUCCGAUACUGACGCUGAGGCGCGAAAGCGUGGGGAGCAACCAGG